AAGAGCUCAGAUUUGAAAUCGUGUUUCGGCACGAGUUGUAGAGUGUAGGCGGGAGUCUCUGUGGAGCGCGGUGUCCAAGUCCCUUGGAACAGGGUGCCUGAGAGGGUGAGAGCCCCGUAGGGUGCUGCGCGAAGCUUUUGAGGCCCUGCUGACGAGUCGAGUUGUUUGGGAAUGCAGCUCCAAGCGGGUGGUAAAUUCCAUCUAAGGCUAAAUAUUGGCGAGAGACCGAUAGCGAACAAGUACUGUGAAGGAAAGAUGAAAAGCACUUUGAAAAGAGAGUGAAACAGCACGUGAAAUUGUUGAAAGGGAAGGGUAUUGGGCUCGACAUGGGGGGUGCGCACCGCUGUCUCUUGUAGGCGGCGCUCUGGGCGCCCUCUGGGCCAGCAUCGGUUCCUGCUGCGGGAGAAGGGGCUCCGGAAAGUGGCUCUUCGGAGUGUUAUAGCCGGGGCCAGAUGCCGCGUGUGGGGACCGAGGACUGCGGCUUCUGUCUCGGAUGCUGGCAUAACGGCGCAAUACCGCCCGUCUUGAAACACGGACCAAGUGAGACAGACAGUUC
rnacentral:rRNA from 1 species